rnacentral:lncRNA from 13 species
AUAAUAUCUGCCACUUUAAGCUUAACAAUGCUGUGAUUAUCUUUGAUCAAAUUAUUGAAUUUAACUGUGCAUUCUGCCACAUAUAAAAUGUGUUGCUCUCUACAUUCUUUCAGAAAAUGAAAUUGCAGGGAAAUUUAUUAUGACUCAUAAUGUUGGAGAAAACAAUGAAAACAAAAAACAAAAAAGUUUGUUCAAGAUUGCUGAGACUGAUGGUUUCCAGCUUCAUCCAUGUCCAUGCAAAAGACAUGAACUCAUCUUUUUUAUGGCUGCAUAGUAUUACACGUGAAUAAGACUCAUGGGAUCUGAUGGUCUUAAAAGGAGGAGUUCCCCUGCACGAGCUCUCUCUUUUUGCCUGCUGCCAUCCAUGUAAGAUGCGACUUGCUCCUCCUUGCCUUUCACCAUGAUUGUGAAGCCUCCUCAGUCAUGUGGAACUGUAAGUUCAUUAAACCACUCUUUCUUGCCAGUCUCAAGUAUGUCUUUAUCAGCAGCAUGAAAAUGGACUAAUACAGAGAGAUAUAUGAAUUUUAUCAACAUAAAAAGUAGUAGUUUCAAUUUGAUCUAAUAUCUAUGUUAUUUUAUUACAUACAAG